CACGUAGGAGGCGAGCGUUAUCCGGAUUUACUGGGCGUAAAGCGCGUGCAGGCGGUUCGGCAAGUUGGAUGUGAAAGCUCCUGGCUCAACUAGGAGAGGUCGUUCAAUACUACCGGACUAGAGAGUGGUAGAGGGAGGUGGAAUUCCGAGUGUAGUGGUGAAAUGCGUAGAUAUUCGGAGGAACACCAGUGGCGAAAGCGGCCUCCUGGACCACUUCUGACGCUCAGACGCGAAAGCUAGGGGAGCAAACGGG
rnacentral:rRNA from 1 species